rnacentral:rRNA from 1 species
UACGAAGGGGGCUAGCGUUGUUCGGAAUUACUGGGCGUAAAGCGUGCGCAGGCGGCUUCUCAAGUCAGGGGUGAAAGCCCAGAGCUCAACUCUGGAAUUGCCUUUGAGACUGAGUGGCUUGAGUACAAGAGAGGUGAGUGGAAUUCCCAGUGUAGAGGUGAAAUUCGUAGAUAUUGGGAAGAACACCUGUGGCGAAAGCGGCUCACUGGACCACAACUGACGCUGAGGCGCGAAAGCUAGGGGAGCAAACAGG